UAGGGAAUCUUCCGCAAUGGGCGAAAGCCUGACGGAGCAACGCCGCGUGAGUGAUGAAGGUCUUCGGAUCGUAAAACUCUGUUAUUAGGGAAGAACAAAUGUGUAAGUAACUAUGCACGUCUUGACGGUACCUAAUCAGAAAGCCACGGCUAACUACGUGCCAGCAGCCGCGGUAAUACGUAGGUGGCAAGCGUUAUCCGGAAUUAUUGGGCGUAAAGCGCGCGUAGGCGGUUUUUUAAGCCUGAUGUGAAAGCCCACGGCUCAACCGUGGAGGGUCAUUGGAAACUGGAAAACUUGAGUGCAGAAGAGGAAAGUGGAAUUCCAUGUGUAGCAGUGAAAUGCGCAGAGAUAUGGAGGAACACCAGUGGCGAAGGCGACUUUCUGGUCUGUAACUGACGCUGAUGUGCGAAAGCGUGGGGAUCAAACAGG
rnacentral:rRNA from 1 species